rnacentral:rRNA from 1 species
CACGUAGGAGGCGAGCGUUGUCCGGAAUCAUUGGGCGUAAAGAGCGCGCAGGCGGCUUGUCAAGUCGGGUGUGAAAUCCCGGGGCUCAACCCCGUGACUGCAUUCGAUACUGCCUGACUGGAGUACUGGAGAGGAGAUUGGAAUUUACGGUGUAGCAGUGAAAUGCGUAGAUAUCGUAAGGAAGACCAGUGGCGAAGGCGGAUCUCUGGACAGUUACUGACACUGAGGCACGAAGGCCAGGGGAGCAAACGGG